rnacentral:rRNA from 1 species
AGUGAACGCUGGCGGUAGGCCUAACACAUGCCAGUCGAACGGCAGCACAGUAAGAGCUUGCUCUUACGGGUGGCGAGUGGCGGACGGGUGAGGAAUACAUCGGAAUCUACUUUUUCGUGGGGGAUAACGUAGGGAAACUUACGCUAAUACCGCAUACGACCUACGGGUGAAAGCAGGGGAUCUUCGGACCUUGCGCGAUUGAAUGAGCCGAUGUCGGAUUAGCUAGUUGGCGGGGUAAAGGCCCACCAAGGCGACGAUCCGUAGCUGGUCUGAGAGGAUGAUCAGCCACACUGGAACUGAGACACGGUCCAGACUCCUACGGGAGGCAGCAGUGGGGAAUAUUGGACAAUGGGCGCAAGCCUGAUCCAGCCAUACCGCGUGGGUGAAGAAGGCCUUCGGGUUGUAAAGCCCUUUUGUUGGGAAAGAAAAGCAGCAGGUUAAUACCCCGCUGUUCUGACGGUACCCUAAGAAUAAGCACCGGCUAACUUCGUG